rnacentral:tRNA from 2 species
CGCGGGAUGGAGCAGUUGGUAGCUCGUCGGACUCAUAACCCGAAGGUCACAGGUUCAAGUCCUGUUUCUGCAA